ACACUUAAUAAAUUACCCAUGUCCAUUGAACAUAAACUUUUUAUGGAAUUACGGAUUCCUUUUAGGAAUAAUAUUUUUUAUUCAAA
rnacentral:sRNA from 1 species